AGUGAACGCUGGCGGUAGGCCUAACACAUGCAAGUCGAACGGCAGCACAGUAAGAGCUUGCUCUUACGGGUGGCGAGUGGCGGACGGGUGAGGAAUACAUCGGAAUCUACUUUUUCGUGGGGGAUAACGUAGGGAAACUUACGCUAAUACCGCAUACGACCUACGGGUGAAAGCAGUGGAUCUUCGGACCUUGCGCGAUUGAAUGAGCCGAUGUCGGAUUAGCUAGUUGGCGGGGUAAAGGCCCACCAAGGCGACGAUCCGUAGCUGGUCUGAGAGGAUGAUCAGCCACACUGGAACGUAGACACGGUCCAGACUCCUACGGGAGGCAGCAGUGGGGAAUAUUGGACAAUGGGCGCAAGCCUGAUCCAGCCAUACCGCGUGGGUGAAGAAGGCCUUCGGGUUGUAAAGCCCUUUUGUUGGGAAAGAAAAGCAGCAGGUUAAUACCCCGCUGUUCUGACGGUACCCAAAGAAUAAGCACCGGCUAACUUCGUG
rnacentral:rRNA from 1 species